UUGAAGAGUUUGAUCAUGGCUCAGAUUGAACGCUGGCGGCAGGCCUAACACAUGCAAGUCGAGCGGUAGCACAGAGAGCUUGCUCUCGGGUGACGAGCGGCGGACGGGUGAGUAAUGUCUGGGAAACUGCCUGAUGGAGGGGGAUAACUACUGGAAACGGUAGCUAAUACCGCAUAACGUCGCAAGACCAAAGUGGGGGACCUUCGGGCCUCAUGCCAUCAGAUGUGCCCAGAUGGGAUUAGCUGGUAGGUGGGGUAACGGCUCACCUAGGCGACGAUCCCUAGCUGGUCUGAGAGGAUGACCAGCCACACUGGAACUGAGACACGGUCCAGACUCCUACGGGAGGCAGCAGUGGGGAAUAUUGCACAAUGGGCGCAAGCCUGAUGCAGCCAUGCCGCGUGUGUGAAGAAGGCCUUCGGGUUGUAAAGCACUUUCAGCGGGGAGGAAGGCGUUAAGGUUAAUAACCUUGGCGAUUGACGUUACCCGCAGAAGAAGCACCGGCUAACUCCGUGCCAGCAGCCGCGGUAAUACGGAGGGUGCAAGCGUUAAUCGGAAUUACUGGGCGUAAAGCGCACGCAGGCGGUCUGUCAAGUCGGAUGUGAAAUCCCCGGGCUCAACCUGGGAACUGCAUUCGAAACUGGCAGGCUAGAGUCUUGUAGAGGGGGGUAGAAUUCCAGGUGUAGCGGUGAAAUGCGUAGAGAUCUGGAGGAAUACCGGUGGCGAAGGCGGCCCCCUGGACAAAGACUGACGCUCAGGUGCGAAAGCGUGGGGAGCAAACAGGAUUAGAUACCCUGGUAGUCCACGCCGUAAACGAUGUCGAUUUGGAGGUUGUGCCCUUGAGGCGUGGCUUCCGGAGCUAACGCGUUAAAUCGACCGCCUGGGGAGUACGGCCGCAAGGUUAAAACUCAAAUGAAUUGACGGGGGCCCGCACAAGCGGUGGAGCAUGUGGUUUAAUUCGAUGCAACGCGAAGAACCUUACCUGGUCUUGACAUCCACAGAACUUAGCAGAGAUGCUUUGGUGCCUUCGGGAACUGUGAGACAGGUGCUGCAUGGCUGUCGUCAGCUCGUGUUGUGAAAUGUUGGGUUAAGUCCCGCAACGAGCGCAACCCUUAUCCUUUGUUGCCAGCGGUUAGGCCGGGAACUCAAAGGAGACUGCCAGUGAUAAACUGGAGGAAGGUGGGGAUGACGUCAAGUCAUCAUGGCCCUUACGACCAGGGCUACACACGUGCUACAAUGGCAUAUACAAAGAGAAGCGACCUCGCGAGAGCAAGCGGACCUCAUAAAGUAUGUCGUAGUCCGGAUUGGAGUCUGCAACUCGACUCCAUGAAGUCGGAAUCGCUAGUAAUCGUAGAUCAGAAUGCUACGGUGAAUACGUUCCCGGGCCUUGUACACACCGCCCGUCACACCAUGGGAGUGGGUUGCAAAAGAAGUAGGUAGCUUAACCUUCGGGAGGGCGCUUACCACUUUGUGAUUCAUGACUGGGGUGAAGUCGUAACAAGGUAACCGUAGGGGAACCUGCGGUUGGAUCACCUCCUU
rnacentral:rRNA from 1 species